AGUUUAAUCCCCCCAGGGGAACCUGGCCCUUAAUUCGAUGGUCCACGAAACUCUUACCUCUCCUUGUUUCUCUGUGACUACUGCCACAGAGAAGUCCAGUUCGCAUACCGCCGUUUUUCAGUUCAUACUUAAGAUGGGAAAGAAAUGGGCGCCGAAGCCAACACUAGCCAGUGACUAUGGCUAGUAACCGCUAACAAUUCAGGUAAACGUGUGGCCUACGGAGAGGGGGUGCUGGGUUACAAUUGAAACUUGGAAUAAACUUGCCACAUGAACAAUGGAAGGAAAGAGGACUUGGAAGUAAUUCCCUCAUAUAAAGAGGGCAUGAAUAGUGCUCUAAACUGUGU
rnacentral:rRNA from 1 species